CUACGGGGCGCAGCAGUGGGGAAUAUUGCACAAUGGAGGAAACUCUGAUGCAGCAACGCCGCGUGGAGGAUGACACUUUUCGGAGCGUAAACUCCUUUUAUAUAGGAAGAAGAUGACGGUACUAUAUGAAUAAGCGCCGGCUAACUCCGUGCCAGCAGCCGCGGUAAUACGGAGGGCGCAGGCGUUACUCGGAAUCACUGGGCGUAAAGAGCGUGUAGGCGGAUUAAAAAGUCAGAAGUGAAAUCCUAUAGCUUAACUAUAGAACUGCUUCUGAAACUCUUAAUCUAGAAUAUGGGAGAGGUAGAUGGAAUUUCUGGUGUAGGGGUAAGAUCCGUAGAGAUCAGAAGGAAUACCGAUUGCGAAGGCGAUCUACUAGAACAUUAUUGACGCUGAGACGCGAAAGCGUGGGGAGCAAACAGGAUUAGAUACCCGCGUAGUC
rnacentral:rRNA from 1 species